rnacentral:sRNA from 1 species
AGCCCUGCGGAGCCCAGGGGGACCCACAGUCAAAGCAAGGAUCGCCGACAGCCAAAAGGGAAGCCGCGCUCAGGGAGAGGCCGGCGGAGAGCACGGUGGAGGCUUCAAACGUCCCAGCACAACUCCGGGCCGGGGGCCGAGAGGGGAGCGCCGGUGCCGCCGCCAGACCUGCAGCCUAGCCCCCCGAGACAGCAGACCCCACCACUGCCGCCGCCGCCACCCACACCCCCGGGCACCCUGGUGCAGUGCCAACAAAUUGUCAAGGUCAUUGUCCUGGACAAGCCCUGCCUGGCCCGCAUGGAGCCCCUGCUGAGCCAGGCUCUCUCCUGCUACACCUCCUCGUCCUCUGACUCCUGCGGCUCCACACCCCUGCGUGGCCCCGGCUCUCCGGUCAAGCUGCACCCCCUCUGCAGAUCUGAAGACACACCUCACUCUCCCGGGGCCCUACACAGCCAGACCCGGCGAGGCCUCCUCUUCCCCUGGCCACCACUUUCCCCCAUUGGACCAUGGACUGAAGAAAACGAGCUGAGGGUCUAACG